rnacentral:rRNA from 1 species
CCAGACUCCUACGGGAGGCAGCAGUGGGGAAUAUUGCACAAUGGGGGAAACCCUGAUGCAGCGACGCCGCGUGAGCGAAGAAGUACCUCAGUAUGUAAAGCUCUAUCAGCAGGGAAGAAGAUGACGGUACCUGACCAAGAAGCUCCGGCUAAAUACGUGCCAGCAGCCGCGGUAAUACGUAUGGAGCAAGCGUUAUCCGGAUUUACUGGGUGUAAAGGGAGCGUAGACGGCAGCGCAAGUCUGAAGUGAAAUGCCGGGGCUUAACCCCGGAACUGCUUUGGAAACUGAGCAGCUAGAGUGCAGGAGAGGUAAGUGGAAUUCCUAGUGUAGCGGUGAAAUGCGUAGAUAUUAGGAGGAACACCAGUGGCGAAGGCGGCUUACUGGACUGUAACUGACGUUGAGGCGCGAAAGCGUGGGGAGCAAACAGGAUUAGAUACCCCCGUA